rnacentral:rRNA from 1 species
UACGAGGGGGGCGAGCGUUGUUCGGAAUUAUUGGGCGUAAAGGGCGCGUAGGCGGGCGGUCAAGUCGGGGGUGAAAUCUUUCCGCUUAACGGGAAGCGUGCCUCCGAUACUGAUCGCCUCGAGGGAGGUAGGGGCAUGUGGAACUUCCGGUGGAGCGGUGAAAUGCGCAGAUAUCGGGAAGAACACCCGUGGCGAAGGCGGUUCUCUGGGACGGUACUGACGCUGAGACGCGAAAGCGUGGGGAGCGAACAGG